AGCCCCGUAGUGUAGUGGUCACUGAUAGCCAUAUAAGCACACGAGACUCUGGCUCUCGGGACUGCGGUUCGAAUCCGCACGGGGCUA
rnacentral:tRNA from 1 species